GACUCACCAAUAUGGACCUGAAUCCGCCCUUCACUUAUAACUGACUAUACAGUACACUGAAAAAGGGAAGGGAUGGCGGUGAAGGGAAGAAAUUGAGGUUAAUAGACACAGCACUGAUAGCAGCAAAGGAGGAGAGUAAUCCUGGGAUUAAUAAGGUGAGUGGUGUGAAGCAGUGGAAGAGGACAGAGGCUGGGCACUUACAGCAAAUAUUUUGGGGGUGUCAAGGCCCCCAUGGCCCCCUAGAGUUGGUGCCACUGUCAGUAGAGCUAGCUGGAUGGGGUCGUUGGAGGAACAAAAGGGUGAUGAUAGUCAGUCAUUAACUCAUUAAGAAGGCCAUUAAGAUAAACUCUUUGGGCUGGACAGAAAAUGGGGAAAACACCUACCUGAAGUGAGAGAUAGUUAGCAGAGACAAAAGGAUAGAGUUUCAGAGGAAGCUGCAGAAUCUGAGUGGACGAUGAGGUAAACAAACAGAAAAAAGUGCAAGAAACAUAUUCUUUGUUGUAGAUGAAAGCUAGGAUUCUGGUUUAUCCAACAGUGGACAACUGCCUCCCUUACACCCCUAAUGGACUUUGGAAUACUAAAGGGGUGUCUUCUUCAUUCUAGAGAGCUGAAGAGCCAGGAAGGAGUUUGAGAACAGCACUGAGCUGAACAAGGAACUGAUGCAUGAAGAGGCUUUGUUGGAGGAAUUUACAGAUGAUGUCAAGGAGCACUUUGCCAGCACCCAGGAACAACGGAUUCAGGACAGUGUCAU